UCGACAAAGGCUUCAAUGAGGACGUCGAAGGAAUAAGUGGGGGAGAAUGUCACGGACAAACUUCUAAACAAGAUGUUUGAUGUAAUGCUCAUGUAUGUCCGUGUCUUUUGGCAUGUUCAUGCCUUGUACAGCACGUAGAGGGGCGGCCGAAGGCUUAAUAGUCCCAUUUUAGUUGGGUUGGUGGCCUCUUUAGGCUUGUAAAUAAAGGUUGUGUCAUGUGGACACAUGUGAGAGAUUUUCGGUCUAUAAUGGAUCAUUUUACCCUUUGUUGUGCCACUGUUCAGAGCUUGUAAAGUCUGUUUGUAAUUUGCAUUGUCUAUGAAGUGUUUUUCGGAGAUGUUUGCUUGUGGAUCC
rnacentral:lncRNA from 1 species